rnacentral:rRNA from 1 species
UACGGAAGGGGCAAGCGUUGUUCGGAAUCAUUGGGCGUAAAGCGCGUGUAGGCGGCUCGGUAAGUCUGCUGUGAAAGUCCAGGGCUCAACCCUGGGAUGCCGGUGGAUACUGUCGAGCUCGAGUCCGGAAGAGGCGAGUGGAAUUCCUGGUGUAGCGGUGAAAUGCGCAGAUAUCAGGAGGAACACCAAUGGCGAAGGCAGCUCGCUGGGACGUGACUGACGCUGAGACGCGAAAGCGUGGGGAGCAAACAGG